UGGCUCAGGAUGAACGCUAGCGGGAGGCUUAACACAUGCAAGUCGUGGGGCAGCAUUUGGUAGCAAUACUGAGAUGGCGACCGGCGCACGGGUGAGUAACGCGUAUGCAACCUACCCUGUACAGGGGGAUAGCCCGGAGAAAUUCGGAUUAAUACCCCAUAAAGAUAUUUGAAGGCAUCUUUAGAUAUUUAAAGUUUCGGCGGUACGGGAUGGGCAUGCGUAACAUUAGCUAGUUGGUAGGGUAACGGCCUACCAAGGCCACGAUGUUUAGGGGUCCUGAGAGGGUGAUCCCCCACACUGGUACUGAGACACGGACCAGACUCCUACGGGAGGCAGCAGUGAGGAAUAUUGGUCAAUGGGCGCAAGCCUGAACCAGCCAUCCCGCGUGGAGGAAGAAGGCGCUAUGCGUUGUAAACUUCUUUUCCAGAGGAAUAAAAUUUUGUACGAGUA
rnacentral:rRNA from 1 species